AUGAAGCAACACAGAUUGAUAGGGAACGGGAAGCGGAAGAAUCCUGUAGAUUCUGCUGGUACUGAUGGUGCAAUAGAAGGUCAAAGUCUAGCGGAAAAUUGUACAAACAGUGUUUUUGGUGCUACACGAGCUGUAGAACAAGCCCAACAGAAACAAGUAGCGGCCACCAAACAAGCAGAGAUAGCCCUAGUUGUUGCAGCACCUUCCACCGUACCACCAGCUACACGAUUUACUCGUUGGUCAACUCAGCUAGUAGCAUGUUCCCAAGCUCCCUUGCCACCUGACACUACUUCCAAAGCACUCUUGACACAAGAUGAGUUGGCAAGAUUAGAUGAACUUUGUGAUCUUGAACAGGAAGAAGCACCUAGGCACAAGAGGAAACAAACAUCAGGGAUAAUGCUCGAUAGGUUAACUAAAUCAAGAGGAGGAAGAAUGGAUAUCCGUUUUGAGGCAGGUUUAAAAAGGCCACGUGAUGAUACAAAGUCAGCCAAGUUAGUAUCAGAGGCAGCGGUUGCCGUUAGGUGUCAUGUACGUAUCCUCCCAACAUGGAAUCAGUACAGGAAUGACAAAGAUGAACCCUAG
rnacentral:rRNA from 1 species